GCGGGCGUAGUUCAGUGGUAGAACGUCUCCUUGCCAAGGAGAAGGCCACGAGUUCGAAUCUCGUCGCCCGCUCUA
rnacentral:tRNA from 2 species